rnacentral:misc_RNA from 1 species
GUAGCCUUGUUGCUACGAUCUGCUGAGGCUCAGCUUUUGUUCUACAGAUUUGUCCUUUUGGACUCUCUAUGUUUGGCAUGGACUGGGGGGCGACUCCAGCAUUCUAAUCAUAGACAGUUUAACAAGACAAGUAGUAGGUGCAGUAGAGAGAAGUAGAGAAGUAGGUAGAUCAAGAACGAAGGCUAUGGGAUCAAAAACGGAGGAGGCAGCAGCUAGAGAGUUGGACUUUGGGUGAAUCUCUCAAAGUUGCAAGUCGGAAGGAUGGACUGGGGGAGACAAGGGGUCUCUAGCAGGGCGGUUGUGGACUUGGACGGGCCAGUUUUAGAAGAGAGCAAGGUCUAGAGGGAGCAAGACGUGGGUGAGUGAGGCUGGGGGCUGAGAGACAAGUCAGAGUUGAGAGCUGGCAGGCCUAGGACCUAGUACCGGUGAGCAUGCUAGGUGCUGCAAAGACCAAGUAUGAGUGCUGGUGAGCCCAAGUCUACCAGCUGUCUUAGUGUGUCUUUCCAGGAGGGACUGGCUUAUAGGGGCUGUUCUGACAUACUGUC